rnacentral:rRNA from 1 species
AAACCAGCACCUCAAGUGGUCAGGAGGAUUAUUGGGCCUAAAGCAUCCGUAGCCUGUUCUGUAAGUUUUCGGUUAAAUCCAUUAGCUCAACUAAUGGGCCGCCGAAAAUACUGCAUAACUAGGGAGUGGGAGAGGUAGACGGUACUCGGUAGGAAGGGGUAAAAUCCUUUGAUCUAUUGAUGACCACCUGUGGCGAAGGCGGUCUACCAGAACACGUUCGACGGUGAGGGAUGAAAGCUGGGGGAGCAAACCGGAUUAGAAACCCUAGUAGUCC